AUGGCUUGGAUUCUUUUGCUCUUCACCAUCCCGUGUUCCUUUGGGGCCAGUAUCCAGCAACUCCAGAGCCUGAAGAAUCCAGCGUUUGUAGCUCCAGGUGGGACAAUCACCAUGUCUUGCAGCGGUGCUAGCUCCAAUCUUAGAACAAUUGGAACAGGCUAUUCAUCCUGGUAUCAGCAGAAGCCUGGCGGGGCCCCCAACCUCAUUAUAUAUCAGGACAGCAAAAGACCCUCUGGAAUCCCAGCACGAUUCUCUGGUUCUCUUGAAAACUCUGCAAAAUCGGCCACACUGACCAUCUCCAGUCUUCAAGGAGAGGAUGAAGCUGAUUAUUAUUGUUCAUGUUAUGCAGGCAGUGGCAUGUACACGAUGUUACAAUCCCACUGA